AAAAAAAGGAAACAAUUUUUCAGUCUGGCUAGCUUUCAAAGCCUUCCUUGUCUUUGCAGCUCUAACCGACUUGCACAUAUUUUGUGCUUCAAACUUGCAGCCCUCUGAACGCCCGUCUCACAUUCUGCCUUUGGCUCAAACUUCCCCUGGAGCAUCUUCUCUCCACUGCUGUUGGAAUCUUACUCAUCUUCCAAGGUUCACUUCCAGUGAUAACUCAUUCUUCAAUGAAGAUUUCUUAAUCCUCUUAACCAAAGGCAAAGAUCAGACAGCUGCCCGAAGGCCUGCAAAUGGCCAACCGUGGUGCAGGUGUCUGUCCUAGGUACUGGAACUAGUGACACGGAGCUGUGGGAAUUUGCCCCUUGGCCGGAAGACCUAGAAGUCAGAGGAACGAGGGUUAUUUGGCCCAGAGACAAUUAGACCUAGAGGAAUUAUUGUACCAAGAAAGUAAUUCCUCUUCUAAGCGCUCAUUGCCUGGUGUCUCCGUGCUACGGACAGAGCUCUGACACCUUUGCAAGAUCCUGAAAGAGAAAGAUGACAGAUGAGAAACGUCAGGUCUUCCUACCACCGAGGACUCGUGAGGGGCAUGAUGGAUUUUUUGCAACCAGCCUUCAACCCUAUGAAUGGAAAGUUGGUAGAACUUGUUAGCUCUUGCUUCCGUCUUGGUUCUCCUUUUACCACGGAGGCAAACUGGAGGAAGUAGCCUGAGACUCUGGGCUCAUUUUCCUCCCCUGGGUUCAAGUUGGAGAAAACAACGCUAAUUACAUUUCUAACAGCAGCAAAUAAAUUUGAAAGUAAAGCUCU